ensembl:misc_RNA Metazoa_SRP Metazoan signal recognition particle RNA
GCCAGGCUCGGUGUCAUGUGCCUGUAGUCACAGCUACUCGGGAGGCUGAGGUGGGAAGAUUGCUUGAGCCCAGGAGUUCUAGGCUGUAGUGCGCUUUGCUGAUCUGGUGUCUGCAGUAAGUUUGGCAUCAAUAUGGUGACCUCCUGGGAGCAGGGGACCACCGGGUUGCCUAAGGAUGGGUGAAUAGGCUCAGGUCGGAAACGGAGCAGGUCAAAACUCCCGUGCUGAUCAGUAGUGGGAUCACACCUGUGAAUAGCCACUGCACUCCAGCCUGGGCAAUAUAGUGAGACCCUGUCUCUA